GGAGGCCGCCUCCUGCUUGCCGGCCUGGCGGUCCUACUCAACACCGCAAGAUUUCAAAAGGGAAAUUCCUCCAGGGCUGAGUCACAGGGAAGAAAGCGAUUUCCUCCGCCUCUUCCAAAGCGGCCCCUUUGGUGCCAGUCUGCUGGAGUUUGCUGGAGGUCCACUCCUGACCCUGUUUGCCUGGGUAUCACCAGCAGAGGCUGCAAAGCAGCAAAGAUUGCUGCCUGUUCUUUCUUCUAGAAGCUUCGACCCAGUGGGGCACCUGUCAGAUGCCAGCCAGAGCUCUCCUGUAUCAGGUGUCUGUCGGUCCAAGCUAGAAGGUUGUGGGGCUAGACAAGAAGGAAAAAAAUCACUGUCCUCAUGGAAGUUAAAUUGUACUGACAAAGGAGGAAAAUGUCAGGGAGUUAACAAUUCAGUCUCUGUGGCUUCCUCCUGUCCUCUCCCUGAAACUGAGAUCCAGCCAAUCUGCACAUUUAUUCUGAGAGUGGCCCCACUUUAAUGACUACACCCAGCUGUCUACACACCAGGAGGGGAGGGAACUGUAUCCUGAGGCACCAACCCGAUUACCCACCCAACAGCCACAGGGACUUCCAGUGACUGGGGCAUCAUCCUCAAUGCCACCAACCCCUCUCCUUCCUGUGGCUUUUCUAACUGGAACUGGAACUCAGAAAGUACAUUAAUCACCAAUUUGGGAAGCUAUAGGAAAGUAUGUUUUCUAAUAUACAGUGAGAGAAUGUGACUGAUAAAACCAAUUUUCUUGAGACUUUCUCCCUGGAAAGUGAAUAUAUGUAUUCAUAGGGCCUUCACAAGCACAGACUAACAAGCAAAGAGCUACAUUCACUGGGAAGGAAGACUCAAAAGUAAGUGAAAAAUAAUAGUUAACCUUUAGAUGUUGUGCAAUAAAUUAUUUUUAAUUACAUUAAAUCAAAAUAGUGUUAAAAUAUUUUCAGGUAAACCUAGUAUAUUUACUAAUAAAUUUAAGUCUUCAUAAAUAUAAAGAUAGAUCAAUGUAAAUGUAAAAAUCAUUUGUUAAACUCCAGAGAUUAUAUAAACAAAAGGUGAACCUAAUGUAAAACUGUGGACUUUAGUUGAAAAUAAUGUGUCACUAUUCUUUCAUGGGUUGUAACAAAUGUGCCACACUAAUGUAAGAUGUUAAUAAUAGCAGAAAUAGGGGGGAGAGAGGAGGGAUCUAGGAGCUCUCUGGAUUUUCCAUUUUAUUUUGUUAUAAAUCUAAAACUGUUCUUAAAAAUAAUGUCUGUUAAUUUUUUUUUUAAAAAGGAAAGAAGCACUGAUACAUGCUAUGACAUGGAAGAACUCUAAAAAUAUUAGGCUAAGGGAAAGAAGCCACAUACACAUACACAUACACAGAUAGUUUAUGGUUCCAUUUAUAUAAAAUAUUCAGAAUAGAAAAGUUCAUAGGGACAGAAAGUAGAUUACCUGGGGAGUAGGGGGUGAAAAAUGGGUAGUAACUGCUUAAUGGGUAUGAAGUUUCGUUUAGGGCGAUGAAAAUAUUCUGGAACUAGAAAGUGAUGAUGAUGGUCACACAGCAAUGUCACAUAUACAAUACCACAGAACUGUACACUUUAAAAUGGUUAAAGGGUUUUAUUUUAUGUUAUGUAUUUUACCACAAUUGAAAAAAAUGUUUAUUAAAAUUAAUGUGUAAACAUUUGUGGAAGAAUAAUGUGUAGUUUCUAACAUUUAUGUGUUUAAAUUUAUGAGUUUAAAAAUAGAAAAAAAAAUGAUGGCCCAGAAGAGCAAGUUCAGAGUGCUGUUCAUGAGUGAUCCGCAUGGGACCGCGAUGCCUCUGACGUCUGCCAUCCUGGAGAGCAGCAGAGCGUCACUAGCAGGUCCUCGUCUUCUCACUUCAUAACAUUCUUUCCAAAAGUCUUGUUGACAUUCUUCUGUCUUCCACAUAUAGUUUAUCUUCUUGAACUCAUUAUAACUUUAAAAUAUUUUUACUGUGUUACAUGUACUGCUUAUAUUUGUUUAUUUUAUAAUUAUUAAUUUUAAAUUGUGCACUUUAUUUUGCUCUAACAAUAAAAUUGACAUGUUCGUAUA
rnacentral:lncRNA from 1 species